UACGUAGGUGGCGAGCGUUGUCCGGAUUUAUUGGGUUUAAAGGGUGCGUAGGCGGCCCUAUAAGUCAGUGGUGAAAUAUCGCAGCUUAACUGUGAGGGUGCCAUUGAUACUGUAGGGCUUGAGUGAAUUUGAGGUAGGCGGAAUUAACGGUGUAGCGGUGAAAUGCUUAGAUAUCGUCAUAACACCAAUAGUGAAGACAGCUUACCAAGCUUCAACUGACGCUGAGGCACGAAAGUGUGGGGAUCAAACAGG
rnacentral:rRNA from 1 species